rnacentral:rRNA from 1 species
CCUACGGGCGGCUGCAGUGGGGGAUAUUGCACAAUGGGGGGAACCCUGAUGCAGCGACGCCGCGUGGGUGAAGAAGCGCCUCGGCGCGUAAAGCCCUGUCAGCAAGGAAGAAAAUGACGGUACCUGAAGAAGAAGCCCCGGCUAACUACGUGCCAGCAGCCGCGGUAAUACGUAGGGGGCAAGCGUUAUCCGGAUUUACUGGGUGGAAAGGGGGCGCAGACGGCGAUGCAAGCCAGGAGUGAAAGCCCGGGGCCCAACCCCGGGACUGCUCUUGGAACUGCGUGGCUGGAGUGCAGGAGGGGCAGGCGGAAUUCCUGGUGUAGCGGUGAAAUGCGUAGAUAUCAGGAGGAACACCGGUGGCGAAGGCGGCCUGCUGGACUGCAACUGACGUUGAGGCCCGAAAGCGUGGGGAGCAAACAGGAUUAGAUACCCCGGUAGUC